UUUAUAUGAAGCACUUUGACCGAAAAUUUUGCUUAUUGUGAUCGAUUUUAUUUAUUUAGGUAUAAUAAUAAUUUUAUUACCAGUUCUGUUGCGUCGUUUAUCUGAACUCCUGCGGUUCCAAUUUUCGAAAAGUUCGGUGUGAUUGUUUAAUAUUUUCCAUAAGGUGGAACUAAAUGGCAGCUUCUCGUGAACGUCGUUCAAAUGCGGGCAAUCGGAUUGCCAAGCUGCUUGACGAAGAAGAGGAAGACGAUUUCUACAAAACUUCCUACGGAGGGUUCAGUGAAACUGCGGACGAUCGGGAUUAUAUUCAGAAAAAUGAAGAAGAAGAUAUUGUAGAUUCUGACUUCAGUAUCGAUGAGAACGACGAACCCGUAUCGGAUCAGGAGGAGGAAGCGCCCAAACGUAGAAAGAAGGUUGUCACCAGAGCGUACAAAGAACCAACCGCCAAAAAGAAAUCACCCGUGAAGACAACCAAGGAAGUAAAACACAAACCCGAGCGACAAAAGUCUCCCAAGAAGAAAAAAUCCACCUUUACGGUGCUGGAUUCGGGACGAAAAUCCUUUCGUAAAUCGACUGCGGCUAAAACUGCCGCCACGCAGAGCCGAAUCAAGCAACGCGUUGAAGCCGAGAAGCGCAAACCGAAGGUGGUCAAAGUGGAAGAAUAUAUCCCCACGCAAGAAGAGCUGCUGGAGGAGGCGGAAAUCACCGAGAAGGAGAAUCUCAAAUCGCUUGAGAAAUUCCGUAAAAUGGAGCUGGAGAAAAAGAAAACUCGUCCAACUAAACGAGUCUUUACCGGUCCAAUUGUUAAAUAUCAAUCCUUUACCAUGCCAUUGGUGGAGGAAAUCCCAUCUAAUAAAAGCGGAUCCUCAGAAUCCUUAAGUAGAAUAGAUAGCGAUGAUGUGGAUGAAGCAAAGGAGAAGAGUAAACAAAGGAAACCCAAAAAAACCCCUCCCAAAGUGGAAGUCAAGGGGAGGUGCGAGCGCACUUUCAUCACGUUUGACAACGACAUCGGUGACAAGUUGUUUGAGCAUUAUUUUCCCAAAGCAAUCAAAAAAGGACGACGUAGUCAAAUUUGCGCCAUUACUCGUCUUCCGGCGCGAUACUUUGACCCAGUGACGCAGCUUCCCUACCGAAACAAACAGGCGUUUAAAAUUCUACGGGAAGGAUACUAUCAGCAGUUAGAGGAUAGGGGCAACCCGGACAAUCCCGACGUGAAUAAGUGGCUUGAGUGGCGCAAGAAGAUCCGGGAGUUUCGGUAUAAGAGUUUGAACAAAGGCAGUUCACUGAUGGGGAUGAUUUCUUCCUCAGGAAGCGCAUGAAGAGACUAUCACAAUAAAGCACUAUUUGUGCGGACAUCUUAGUACCUGUUUGGUCUUGGAAUCCUCACAAGAGUAACAGAACCAACAUCAACAACGGUUAUUAUUUUCUGCUCUAUCACAUUAAAAUCAGACUAUUAUGACGAUUACUUUAUAGAAGGAUUUUUAUUGUAAUUUCUUACCAUCUGUAGCACGUUUAUGAUUUUAAGCUUUUUUCUGAUCUAACGGGAUGUAUCCAUAUUAAACGAUAAACUUAUCAUGUUUUCCCCUUCUUUGUAACGUUUUUCGUACAUGGAAGCUUCUAAACUCCUUUAUGGAUAUAUUUCCUCGAUACAGCUUCCUACCUUCAAACAGUCUAAAUUGCGAACCACUGAGAAGGAAUUUGGUAUAGGUUUUGACCUAUUAUUGUCUGAGAUUUUGUUUAGGACGAUCAUAUUUAGCCCGAGGAUUCUUUUUACAUAUAUCAAAGAUUGUUGUAGUUAAGUAGUUUAAAAUUUUGUUUCAAAAUUCAAAGUUUGAACCCUGACAAUAAAAGAUCAAAACAUACCAAAGCCGAAAUCUUCCCUAUAUUUGUAAUAUGAAUUGCGUUGGUAUCACACGUAUGUGUGGUGUAAAGUCGCACGUUAACAAUUUCCAUGUUCACCCUAAACUAUACCCUAGAAGAGCGGCACGCAGCCACUCACUCGCAUCAGUUAUGCGUAACGCUCUGUUUGUGUCUAAUUAUAGACUUCUACUUUAUCGACUAGCAAAACCAAAUAUAAUUUUGCACGGAAAAGGGGACAGUUUUUAUUUCCAUAAAAAAUAAAAAAAAUAAUAUAAAAAAUAU